AUGAAGAAGAGGAAGAAGAAGAAACAGAGC
rnacentral:sRNA from 1 species